ACUCCUACGGGAGGCAGCAGUAGGGAAUCUUCCACAAUGGGUGCAAACCUGAUGGAGCAAUGCCGCGUGAGUGAAGAAGGUCUUCGGAUCGUAAAGCUCUGUUGUUAGAGAAGAACACGUGCUAGGUAACUACUAGCGCCUUGACGGUAUCUAACCAGAAAGUCACGGCUAACUACGUGCCAGCAGCCGCGGUAAUACGUAGGUGACAAGCGUUGUCCGGAUUUAUUGGGCGUAAAGGGAGCGCAGGCGGUCUGUUUAGUCUAAUGUGAAAGCCCACGGCUUAACCGUGGAACGGCAUUGGAAACUGACAGACUUGAAUGUAGAAGAGGAAAAUGGAAUUCCAAGUGUAGCGGUGGAAUGCGUAGAUAUUUGGAGGAACACCAGUGGCGAAGGCGAGUUUCUGGUCUAACAUUGACGCUGAGGCUCGAAAGCGUGGGGAGCGAACAGGAUUAGAAACCCUUGUAGUCCCAUG
rnacentral:rRNA from 1 species